rnacentral:lncRNA from 1 species
CCGGAUCUCCCGCCCAACUUGAUAACCUUUUCUAACUUUUCUCCAAUCACACAUUUGUACAAGCCCAAUUUAGCCCGGGCCCGCACCAAAUGAACCAAACCAUACCAAGAAUAAAAACAGUCCAUUUAGCCCAAUUACAACCCGAAUUAGAUGGCCCAAAUCAGAAAAUUUUAACAGCCCACUAAUUAAACCCAACAACCCACAAGCCC